GAUAACGAUCAUGAUUAAAGUAAAUAUUACAAUUUCCUAAGUAUCGUACUAAUUCUAGAGGUGGCUUUAGAUUUCCAUAACUAUCAAAAUAAUCAACCUGUUUAUUUGUUUUUCUAUAACAAACCCAAUGAGUUCCGGAUCCUUUUUUAGAGUCCAAAUUAAUGAUAGCACAUUCUGUCUUAUCAGGUUUCAUAUGAAUUAAUUCAUCUCUCAUAAAAACGCCUUUAAAUUUGGGUAGUUUUAAUAAUUUAGCAUAUCUUCUUAAAUCAUUAUCAGUUAGUGCCCUAUUAGGCAGUUUUAUUGGUAGUUUUUUGGAAAUUUACGUAAAUACAAUCCAUAACCUCGUGGUUGCUUUCGAAGAUAUAAACCACUUCCCGCCUUCCCGAUAGCGAUAUCUUCCAGUACUUUAUUAUGACGUUUAUUCUCAUCUAAUUUCUGUUUCGCUGCUUUAGCAUCAUUUACAGCUUUAGUUAUAGCAGCAGCACCUCCGCCCAUAGCCCCUAAGGCACUAAGUCCUCCAAAAAUUAAUGGUAACAAUGGUAAAAAUCCUCCUGUUUUUAUAGGUAUAAUACGAGGAAUUUUUAUACGCUUACGACCUCCAGAUUUUCUAACUGCUAUACGAGCAGCUGAUAAUGCAGAUUUUAUAUUAUCAUAUCCCUUAUUUUCUAAAUUUGAUAAAAGAGCUUUAUGAAAAGGUUGUUGUUUUUUCUGUGUCCUCUUUCUAGAUUUCUUUGUCUUCCUUUUCGAUUUUUUCCUUUGGAUUCCCAUACCUAAUUUCCUUUUGACUUUCAUUGCGUUAGUUACAAACCAGGCACUUGCUUUUUCACCAAAUGAAGCGUCUUUAGACUUAACACGUGACCAUGCACUAUCUUCUAAAAUUCGAUCCGCUUGAUGUCUAUCUUUUAAAUCGUUGGAAUUAGCGUAAGCUAUAUCGUGCGUUUUACAAAAGCUGUCAAGCUUGUUUAUUCCAGGAUCACCUCGUUCUAACCGUUUCUUAAGUUUUGUACCAGGUCCGCAAUAUUGAUAUCCUGGUAAAUGUAAUUCAAAAGGUAAUUUAUUGAUUGCAGUAUUUAAUAGUCCUUCCCCUUUGAAAGACAACAUUUAACUGAACUUUUUUCCCUAUAUAAACCUUCUUAUAAAUGUUUUUAAUUUAGUAUGAAAAUGAAAGUGUUAAAGCAAAAAUUACAAUUACCUAUCAUAAAUCAUGAUUAUAAUAAUGUUGAUAAUAAACAUAAAAUGUCUCAUCGACAUGGUACACUUUUACCCGAAUCAAUACGUUGUAUAAUUUGUGGACCUUCUGGUGGAGGAAAAACUAACAUAUUAUUGUCUUUAUUGUUUGAUCCCAACGGAUUGAAAUUUGAAAACAUAUAUAUUUAUUGUAAAUCAUUAUAUCAACCGAAGUAUAAACUGCUUAGUGAUGUGCUACAAAAAAUUAAAGGAAUGGAAUAUAACCAGUAUGAACAUAAUGAAGACGUGCUAGAUCCAAAAGAUGCAAAAAAUAACUCUAUUUUUAUAUUUGAUGAUGUCAUAAUGUGUAAUCAAGCUAAGAUAAGGGAUUACUUUUGCAUGGGCCGGCAUAAAAAUAUUGAUAGUUUCUAUCUCUGUCAAACAUAUACAAAAAUACCGAAACAUUUAAUUCGAGAUAAUGCAAAUUUAUUGGUAAUAUUAAAACAAGAUCUGUUAAAUUUAAAACAUGUAUAUGAAGAUCAUGUUGGUGCUGAUAUGAAAUUCGAACAAUUCUGUGAAAUAUGUCAGGAAUGUUGGAAAAACCAAUAUGGUUUUUUGGUUAUAUGUAAAGAUAAUGAAUUAAAUAAGGGUCGAUAUAGAAAAGGGUUUGAUCAUUUUAUUCAAGUGUAGAGUGAUAUCUAUUUGAGAACGUUUCCAGACCGGUUAAUAUCAGUUUCACAGCGGUUAGUAUCGGUGCGAUAUCGGUUAAUACCGGUUCCAAAGCGGUUAGUAUCGGUUAGAUACCGGUUAGAGACCGGUUAAUAUCGGUCUCAGACCGGUUAGUAUCGGUGUGAUAUUGGUUAAUACCGGUUCCAGAGCGGUUAUUAUCGGAUAGAGACCGGUUAAUAUCGGUUUCAGACCGGUUAAUGUCUGUUAAAAAGCAGUUCCUGAUCGGUUUGAGAUCGGUUAAUAUCAGUUUGAGACCCGUUAUAAUAGCAGUCGAAUAAGAAGUUAUAUAAACAAUAAUUCUGAUUUGUUCGGUUAGUUUAUAACAUUAAGCGGUAAUGAUGGGUACCAAACCAGAUCAAAACCUUAAAAGACAUAUAUUAAAAGCAGCUGAUUCAAUUCGAAAGAAGUAUAAAGCCAUAAAGUUAAACAGCAGUGAAGCGGAUGAGUCAAUUAAAAAGCUUUUUCAGCCUGUUAUAAAUCCUUUAGAAGAAAUUUCAAUAAAAUUGGAGAAGCAAUCUCCACCACCACAGCAACAACAACAAAAACAACACAAAAGACCAAAACAUCAUAUUCAAAAGCAAAGGAAACAAUUUCUUAAACUACCAAAAAAAGAAAAGAUUAAACAAGAACUUGAACUACCAGUUGAAGAAACAUAUGAACCUAGUACAUCACUGCGACAACCAGAAGAAAUAUAUGAGUCAUUACCAGAAAUAAAAGAAGAAGAUGAAGAAACCAAAUCUGACACUAUGGAUGAUUUAAUUAAUAGCAGACAUAUUUUAGAUGAAUUUUUAGAACAAUAUCCUCCAGUUGCGAGAAAUGCAAUAGAAGCAGUUUUAGAGAAAACCAGUGAUCAGACAUUUGGUCCUAGAUAUAAUUCAAAAGAGAAUAAACUAUUUAUGGGUAAACAUGAAUUAAUAAUCAGUCAAAAUGGUGAUUUAAUUUUAGAUAAUGAAUCAUUUCCUGGUACUCCUGGUUUAUACAGACUAAUAUUUUUUAAAAACCCUGAAGAUAAAUACACUCAAAUUACAAAAGAGGAUCGGUCAGCAUACAAAAAAAUACUUGAAAUUUCUAAUACACAUAGAAAAAAUAAUGAUCCCACAAAACAACUAAAAGGUCAUAGAGGUGUAAAAUAUACUCAAAUUGUGCAACCAAUGUUUACUUCAUUUCCUAAAUCUCCGUUUAUUGGUGAAGGAUUAUUCACUAAUAAACGUGUAGAAUAUGUUUACUGGGAUGACAUAAAUGAAUUAGUGUCACGUCUAGCAUUAUUACAUGCAGCGACAAAAGCGGGUAACAAUUCCCAUCUGAAUGAAAUUUUAUCAAUAGAAGAAGAAUUAAAGGAAUGUGGUGUAAUAUAUUAGGCUUAAGUUUUUUUCUGGUUAAUCCUCAGUGUUGAAAUGCCCAUUGAUCUAUUCGGACGUAAAGUGUUAUCAGCAUCAAGUGCAUUUUUUAAAUCUACACCAUCACCUUUUGUUUUCACUGCUGAUGGUGACCUUGAUUUAAAACAUCAUAGAAUCUGUAACAUUAAUGAUCCAACAGAAGACAAAGAUUGUGCGAAUAAGGUAUAUAUUGAUUUAGUAAGUAAACAAAUAUACCAAAAGAUGGAAGGAGUAAUAGCUGCUUUAACGGAUUUAAAUAAUAAUGUUCAUAAAGCAGAUGCUAUAUGGAUGGAUAAAUUUAAUCAGUUAAACUUAACCAUGAAUGUUAAGUACAAAAUACUUGAUGAAAAAAUUGAUAAUAUAAUUGCUACAAUUCCUCACACGAUUGAAUCAGAAUUGCAUAACAAACAUUUAAGUAUAAAUUAUGAAAUCGAUAACAAGUGGAAAAAAUUUAUGAAUAAUUCAAAUGAGAUAACCAGACGAAUAAAAAAACUUGAAGAACGCUUUGAAGGAAUCGAUAGUAUUAAGAUAAAACCAGAAACCAUUUCCAAACGUUCUAAAGCAGGUGAUACAGAUCAACUUGAAAAUGUACCUAUAUCAAAGAAAAGGAAAGUAACAGAUUCAUAUGAAAAUAGUGAAAGAUAGAACCCAUGCCUCAUAAUAAAAACAAGUGUCCUCCAGGUCAAAUGUCAGAUCGUCAUGGAAAUUGUAGAGAAGUGUACCGUAAAUAAGCAAUGGUUCGACUAAAGCAAGUUAGUGAUGUAAAGCAAAAAUUGGUAAACGAGAUAUUUAAACCUGCACGCAGGAAUUUUAAACGAAGACGUACUAUAAUUAAAGGAUUGGAUGAUUUAUGGCAAGUAGAUUUAGCAGAAAUGCAAAAUUUAUCUUAUCAUAAUAAUGGAUUUAAAUAUAUUUUAGUCGUAAUCGACUGUUUUUCUAAAUUUUUAUGGACCAGACCACUGAAAUCGAAAUCAGCUAAUGAGGUUAGCAGAGCUAUGGAAUCAAUACUGAAGAAUGAAAAAGAACGAAUACCAAAGAAUUUACAGUCAGAUCAAGGAAAGGAAUUUUAUAAUACCACUUUUCAGGAUUUGAUGAGACGUUAUAAUAUUAAUCACUAUAGUACGUACAGCGUUAAAAAAGCAGCAAUUGCUGAACGAGUUAUACGUACUUUAAAAUCCAAAAUUUAUCGAUAUUUUACGUUAUUUGCGACACAUAAAUGGAUAAAUAAAUUGCAAGAGAUAACCAAAAAUUAUAAUACUACAAUACAUCGAACAACAGGAAGGAAACCCACAGAGAUAAACGCUUCGAAUCAAGGAGACAUAACAGCAUAUGAUCAUCUAAAGAUUGUUGAUAAAAACAGAAAAAAAUUUAAAGUCGGAGAUUUCGUAAGAAUUAGCAAAGAAAAGAUGUUAUUUGAAAAAGGAUAUACACCCAAUUGGUCAACGGAAAUUUUUAAAAUCAGUAAGAUUAAUCUAACCAAUCCUGUAACAUUUCUGCUAGAAGAUAAAGAAGGUCAACCAAUCAAAGGAGCUUUUUAUAUUUGGGAAUUAUCAAAAACUCAAUAUCCUGACGUCUAUUUAGUUGAGAAAGUGAUUCGACGUAAAGGAACUAAAUUAUUUGUGAAAUGGUUAGGUUUACCAGAUAAUCAGAAUAGUUGGAUUGAAAUGAAAGAUAUUACCUAAUAAAUAAGAAAUAUAUAUACGAUAUAAUUAUUUAACGUCUAAUUUAGUUCCAUUUAAGAUGGCAACGAGUGUAGAACCUGUUAUAAAAAAAGUGCUGCAUUUUGAAAAAACCAUAAGCGAUAUUCGAUUACUAAUGAAACUGGAACUACUGAAAUUAGGACCGUGCCAGUUGAUGGAUAUAUUUCAUAAAUUACCGGAAACAUAUCAACAAGAUCAUGAUAUAAAGCUGAAUCUACCAUGUUUACAACAUUAUUAUAACAGUUUUGACGAAGAUCAGUUUGAUGGUCCUCCUUCAUCAAUAAAUAAUUGUGUUUCGUGUAUUUUAGAUGAUACAGGAAGCCAACAACAACAACAACAACAACAACAACAACAACAACAACCCACUGCGUUUCAAGUGUAAUGCCUCUUUUGAACUCAUCACUCAUCUUAUAUGUACAUCGUCUUCACUAGUGAAAGUCCUAACAACACAAGAUGGUCUCCUCUCUGGAAAAGUUUAUUUUUCAACGAUGUUGAUUACCAAUGGAAGAAGAUGAAUCUGGGUUAUUUGAGCAAUACUGCAAUAGAAAUAUUUAAAUAUGAAAAUGUUUCUAUAGCAAACUCUGUAAUAUAUUUUAAAUUAAGACUAGUUUUUACCAAUAGUAAUUAUAUUGAUACUGACUGGAAGAGACUUAUACUUAAUGAUCAUGAUGUAGUUUCAAUAAAAAAUUGUUUUAAUCAUGUUCCUACCUUUUUAGCAAUGUUUGGAAUUGUUUGUACAUGUUGGAUCGUUUUUAUGAUGUUCAUAGCGUUAGGUUUGGCUUAAAAACUGCAAUUAAAAAUUUAUUUAGGUGUAUGACUUUGUUAGUUUAAGUAUGUAGUUUGUUUUAUGUCUAAUAAAAAAUAAUAUUCA